rnacentral:rRNA from 1 species
UACGUAGGGGGCAAGCGUUGUCCGGAUUUAUUGGGCGUAAAGAGCGUGUAGGCGGCUAGGUAGGUCCGUUGUGAAAACUCGAGGCUCAACCUCGAGACGUCGAUGGAAACCAUCUAGCUAGAGUCCGGAAGAGGAGAGUGGAAUUCCUGGUGUAGCGGUGAAAUGCGCAGAUAUCAGGAAGAACACCCGUGGCGAAAGCGGCGCGCUGGACCACUACUGACGCUGAGGAACGAAAGCUAGGGGAGCAAACAGG